rnacentral:rRNA from 1 species
UACGAAGGGUGCAAGCGUUACUCGGAAUUACUGGGCGUAAAGCGUGCGUAGGUGGUGAGUUAAGUCUGUCGUGAAAGCCCGGGGCUCAACCCCGGAACGGCUUUCGAAACUGCCAAGCUAGAGUACGGAAGGGGCAACUGGAAUUCCCAGUGUAGCGGUGAAAUGCGUAGAUAUUGGGAAGAACACCGGAGGCGAAGGCGGGUUGCUGGGCCGAUACUGACGCUGAGGAGCGAAAGCAUGGGGAGCGAACAGG